CGUCUGCCGAGCUUGCUCGAGGCACAUCAUAUCCAUAACACCUGUGCACUUGCCGGAUGGCUUACUGAAGACCCCAAGGUUGGAUCUAUCCAUCUACUUUACAUAACAAUUCUGUAACAAAUGUAGUCUUAUUAUAACAUAAUAAAACUUUCAACAACGGAUCUCUUGGCUCUCGCAUCGAUGAAGAACGCAGCGAAAUGCGAUAAGUAAUGUGAAUUGCAGAAUUCAGUGAAUCAUCCAAUCUUUGAACGCACCUUGCGCUCCUUGGUAUUCCGAGGAGCAUGCCUGUUUGAGUGUCAUGAAAACCCUCAACCCUAGAUUGGUUAAAACCUUUCUUUGGUUUGGAUUUGGACGUUUGCCGAUGAUAAGUCGGCUCGUCUUAAAAGUAAUAGCUGGAUCUGUCUCGCGACAUGGUUUGACUUGGCGUAAUAAUUAUUUCGCUAAGGACAUCUUCGGAUGGCCGCGUUGCAGGACUAAAGACCGCUUUCUAAUCCAUUGAUCUUACGAUUAAUAUUCUUGACAUCUGGCCUCAAAUCAGGUAGGACUACCCGCUGAACUUAAGCAUAUCAAUAAG
rnacentral:rRNA from 1 species